rnacentral:rRNA from 1 species
CAGGGGGUGCAAACGUUGCUCGGAAUCAUUGGGCGUAAAGCGCACGUAGGCGGUUCGUUAUGUCGGAUGUGAAAGCCCUUGGCUUAACCGAGGAAGUGCAUCCGAAACUGGCGAGCUAGAGUACGAAAAGAGGAUCGCGGAAUUCCCCGGUGUAGAGGUGAAAUUCGUAGAUAUCGGGAGGAACACCGGUGGCCGAAGGCGGCG